GUGAGAUUCAAUUUUCGAUCUAAUGUUACUAAUUUUAGCCUUUAGGCAAAAUAUACAUAUAGCAUCGUUUUAAUUCGUAUAGUAUCUGUGGUCUAAUUGUGUUCAAUUUUGUUGUGUGACAG